ensembl:lncRNA
GUGAGUUGAAUGUCACAGAACUCAGAGCCACGGGGUGCACUGGGUGCUUUGGGUAGUUAGUGCUCGAAGGGCCAAGGAAAGACCCCUGGGCAUUUCUGUGGGAAAACCAUUCCUCCUCCAGUGAACUUUCCUGCAUUCUGAGAAUUAGUACAUUAAUCUAAGAAUUAGCAAAUUAACCUAAAUUUUGUUUGCUGGAAGAUAAAAUGUAGGUAUUUUCAUAGCUUCAACUUCAUUUUUUUCAAAAUAAAAUCCCAACGAAACAGUUUCCUUCUGUUACUAAGAAAUGCUCAUUCCCAGUGGCAGGGGAGUCAAAGUCGUUUUUACCUUGGGCUCAUGAGGCCCCCAGCAGGAGUCCAGACUCUGGGUACCGUGAGGGUGGGGCCCACAUUGGGUCAUUCCCAGAGAGGAGUCUGGAAUGGGCGUGGCUCCGUGCCUGUGCAUUAAGUAGGGGAGUGACUGGGCGGGUGAUGGGGCCCAGGGAGUCCUGGGCACUGGCAGAGCCUCCCGGCCCUGCAGAGACGAGCAGGGCUGUCACCUCCUCCUCACCUCUCUGCUGGAGGCCUCUGUUUUCUCCUCUACAAAACGGAGGUGAGCCUCGACCUCGCAGACCCCAGUGCGCAGGGCCUGGCACGUAGACGCCGGCUCCGUCCUCACCGAGGGCGGCCCGCGGCACGCCCCGCACAGGUGGAGACGAUGCCAGUGUAGGCACGCCGCAGCCCUGGAGCGUGUCCUCCCCAGGGAGGUGGCUAGCUGUGCACUGAGCUCAGGUGGGGCCCUUGGACACACCUGCAGGCGCUCGGCUCUGCAUGCCCCGUGCCAGGUGCUGCCCCUCCCUGUGCUCGGUCUCCUGAACCACGGAUGACCCGACUGGCCGAGAUGGAAGUGGAGACACUGCUCUACCUUCCAAUUAAAACAAGCUGGCAGCCUGGAUCCCACCUUGGAGCUGCAAGUUCAAUACCUUAGUACUAACACUGUCUUUACUGUGUGUCUGUGUUGGGUCCACACCUGUCGUACCUCCCACCUGCAUCCCAUGAAGGAUGAUGAGCAGCUUCUCAGCAGAAAUCUCCCCAGGGGCUGGCUCUGCUGACUGACCCCUAAUGGUGCCCACAGCAGUCUGAGCCCUCCCCUGCUCAGAAGCCUCCCCUCUCUAAAUUAGGCUACCCAGCCUUCUGAAGAGACCUAAGGAACACUCUCCAGAUCUCAGCUGGCCGGUCAUGUCCUCCAGGAAGCCUUCCCUGAAUUCCUCAAUUAAGCCUUCGCUGAAUUCCUCAGCUCAUGACACUUCGUAACUGGGCUCCAGAGCGCAUGUUUCACAGGUGGCUUUUACAUGGCAACCCAGAACCUAACCUAGUGUCUGACCCACAGUGGGCACUCAAUUAACAUCCAUGGGAGAGGUGAACAAACUCACCUGCUAUUGACCUUGGAUGAGGGAUUUACCUCUCUGAGCAAUUCUUUGACCUGUAAAAUGAGUUGUCAUGAGGAAGCAUUGAGAGGAUGCAUGGAGUGUGAGGCUGACCACUGGCUCACAAAGAUAUCCGGGUCCCAAUACCUGGAACUUAUGUGGCAAAAAGGGUGUUGGGGUGGAGGGUCCUUAUG